rnacentral:lncRNA from 10 species
AAUCCUACCUGGCUGGCACCUUGAUCUUGGACUUCCUAGCAUCCAGAAAUGUGAGAAAUAAAUUCUUUCUCUUUCUCUUUCUCUUUCUCUUUGUCCUUAACCUGGGUUGGUCCCAGAUUUUACCUGUUGCAAAUAAACUGCUCUGGGCACCGUGUGCAACACUUUCUGUUGUUUUUCAUGUUUUUGUGUAAAUCUCUAUUUCCGUCUAAUAUUUUUUCUUCUUCUGAAUGACUUUCUUUAACAUUUCUUAGUUUCUAUUGCUGUGUGUUCAAGUUCACUAAUCUUUUGUAGUGCUCAAUUGCAAUGGAUCAACCUAAUGGACUAUAAAGUUGUAUAGUCUGGCUAGUAAGAACAGACACCAGGCAGUGUCUGACCCUGACCCUGGGUUCUAGUUCCUCUAAUCUUUUUGGAAUUUUCUUCACCUGGCCUUAGGUAGCAUUUCUCACUCUCACGGUUCAAUGAUCAAGGAAGACUCUCUAUAGAACUCAAACAUUCUCUCUGUGCAUCUCUAGCUCCAACUGCCUUGGUCUCCUGGGACUCCCAGCUCUAUCCCUCUACUCAGGGAGACUGUUGGAUUCUUCCUGUUUAAUCUUUCAGUCUGCAAACUCCCAGAAGUCAGUGUGCUCAGGCACUUGUAGGGCUCACCUCAUUUCUCUCUGGUCACAGGGACAUUUUCAGUUGUUACUAUUGUUUCAUAACCUUGUCUGAUUAUUUGGUUUCUUCAUGUUGGGGGAUAAAGCUUUCUAUUACUCCAUCUUGUCAAGACACAAAAGUCCCUAGUGUAGUAUUUUAAACAAGCAAAACCACCCUAUCUUUCCCUCAUAUGUGACUUUUUAUAUCUUUAUUUUGUAAGAUUUCUUUAACUUUGUGUUUAAAUCUUCUACUAAGAUUUUCAUUUCUGCUAUCAAGUUUCUAAAUUCCAAAGCCCCUCCUUUCCCCCCUUUUCUUCUUUCCUUUCUGUCUUCCUUUUCUUUUUUCCUCUCUUCCUUCCUCCCUUCUUUACUCUUUCUUUUCUUCCCUCCUCCAUUUACUCCUCCUCUGCAUUCUCUCCCUGCAUUUCUUCUUUUCCUCCUUCCUUUUUUUCAUCUUUCUUUUCUCAUUAUUUAAGGUUCUUUGAAAAUAUUUUUUUCUUGGAUGCAAUAUCUGUACGUAUUUUUCUGCCACUAUUAAUUAUUGCUUCACUUACAGUGAUUCCUGCAAACUUUCAAUCUUCUCUAAGGUGGGGCUUUGUUUAUUUAUUUUAUUUGCAUCUUCCAGGUGACAUGGUUUUCUGGUGCCUUGGCAACUGCUCACGAUGCAUGGGAAGACUAAACACUUUGUGUACAGCAUUCUGUCUCAUCCAGUGAAGACUUCCUCUGGAUUAUUGCAGCAGACACCUCUAACCUCCUUAAUCUGUGUAUGUAACCUAAUCACUCUUUUUUUUUUUUUUUUUUUGAGACAGAGUCUCACUCUGUCAUCCAGGCUGGAGUGCAGUAGCAUGAUCUCGGCUCACUGCAACCACCUCUGCCUCCCGGGUUCAAGCCAUUCUCCUGCCUCAGCCUCCCGAGUAGCUGAGAUUACAGGCAUACGCCACCAUGCCUGGCUAAUUUUUUGUGUAUUUUCAGUAGAGAUGGGGUUUCACCAUGUUGGUCAGGCUG